UAGGGAAUCUUCGGCAAUGGGGGCAACCCUGACCGAGCAACGCCGCGUGAGUGAAGAAGGUUUUCGGAUCGUAAAGCUCUGUUGUAAGAGAAGAACGUGUGUGAGAGUGGAAAGUUCACACAGUGACGGUAACUUACCAGAAAGGGACGGCUAACUACGUGCCAGCAGCCGCGGUAAUACGUAGGUCCCGAGCGUUGUCCGGAUUUAUUGGGCGUAAAGCGAGCGCAGGCGGUUUAAUAAGUCUGAAGUUAAAGGCAGUGGCUUAACCAUUGUUCGCUUUGGAAACUGUUAAACUUGAGUGCAGAAGGGGAGAGUGGAAUUCCAUGUGUAGCGGUGAAAUGCGUAGGUAUAUGGAGGAACACCAGUGGCGAAAGCGGCUCUCUGGUCUGUAACUGACGCUGAGGCCCGAAAGCGUGGGGAGCAAACAGG
rnacentral:rRNA from 1 species